CAAUAGCGUAUAUUAAAGCUGUUGCGGUUAAAAAACUCGUAGUUGGAUUUCUGUCAAGGACAACUGGUCCGCCCCUCGGGUGAGCACAUAGUUUGGUCUUGGCAUCUUGUUGGAAACUGUUGCUGCACUUGGUUGUGUGGCGCAGUGUCCAGCACUUUCACUUUGAGGAAAUUGGAGUGUUUCAAGCAGGCACAUGCCUUUGGACACAGUAGCAUGGAAUAAUUAGAUUGGGCUUUUGCUCCAACUUGUCGGUUUCUGGAGCUGAGGUGAGAAUUAAUGGGGAUUGUUGGGGGCAUCCGAAUUUAGCCGUCAGAGGUGAAAUUCUUGGAUCUGCUAAAGACGGACAACUGCGAAAGCGUUUGCCCAGGAUGUUUUCAUUGA
rnacentral:rRNA from 1 species